rnacentral:rRNA from 2 species
UGGGGAAUAUUGCACAAUGGGCGCAAGCCUGAUGCAGCGACGCCGCGUGAGGGAUGACGGCCUUCGGGUUGUAAACCUCUUUCAAUAGGGACGAAGCGCAAGUGACGGUACCUAUAGAAGAAGGACCGGCCAACUACGUGCCAGCAGCCGCGGUAAUACGUAGGGUCCGAGCGUUGUCCGGAAUUACUGGGCGUAAAGAGCUCGUAGGUGGUUUGUCGCGUUGUUCGUGAAAACUCACAGCUUAACUGUGGGCGUGCGGGCGAUACGGGCAGACUAGAGUACUGCAGGGGAGACUGGAAUUCCUGGUGUAGCGGUGGAAUGCGCAGAUAUCAGGAGGAACACCGGUGGCGAAGGCGGGUCUCUGGGCAGUAACUGACGCUGAGGAGCGAAAGCGUGGGGAGCGAACAGG